AUUGUGUACUUUUAUAACCAUACAGAGCAUUGUACUCUUAAUUACAUACAAUUUUAUAUAUGUAUGCUUGUGUAUAUAAUUGUCUUGAGCACUCAUAUUUUUGCUUAACUACGUAUAAUUAUCAUAAACUUUACACGAAUUCUGAUACUCUUUCACAAGUAUCAUGUCGUCAAGCGAAGUUCACUAUAUUCCUUACUAACACCGCUUUUUCCACCAAGCCAGCAUAACGCUCGGCCUCCUACCGUGCUGUGUGCCUACCACGUUAGCAAUCAGCUCGGUUAAUCGCGUUCGCUUCCAAAGGAUGUGAAAUGGUUCUGUCUGCGUAUCUAUGGGUUGUGGCAUAGUAUCGGUUGAUCGGACGACAGCCGUGAUGGCGGGGUGGCGACGGCUAAGUAUUUAAUCACGUGAUCCCCCCCGUCAAAAUAGCCUACAUGUUACUACACCCACAUGGACAGAAGUGCUUUUAUUCCGCGUUCAUUGUCAGGGCAAACUUAACACGUGUUGUACAUAUACAUUACGAUUUCAUUAUGUCAAUAAUAGUUUAUUUUUUGUGUAAAAAAUAAAAGUUUUUUUAUAAUACAGAUUUAAUAAGUUUACAUAAAUCAUAUGUUUAAAUAAAAUAAAA